rnacentral:misc_RNA from 1 species
UAAGGAAAAACGGAAUCCUGCACAUUGUCGAAAGUUUUGUUUAGUUUUGAGAGGUCUACUCUCAAUUCGUUCUUUGAAAACUAGAUAAUAUUAAUUUUCUGUAAUAAUUUUUUGAAAUUGUAUUUAAUAUAAUUUCAACCGAGAACACCGCGUUAUUUUGAGUUUGUUAACUAGAAAAAAAUCGCAAAUACUCAAUUAACUUUGCAUCACGUAGUGAUGUAC